AUGCGAUAAGUAAUGUGAAUUGCAGAAUUCAGUGAAUCAUCGAAUCUUUGAACGCACCUUGCGCUCCUUGGUAUUCCGAGGAGCAUGCCUGUUUGAGUGUCAUUAAAUUCUCAAUCUCUACAACUUUGUUGUUAGUCGAUUGGAUGUGGGGGUCUUGUGGGUGUUUAAGUACAUUUCCACUCCCCUAAAACGAAUUAGCUGGAAUGCCUCGGCAAGUCCAACUAUCAGUGUGAUAAAUAUCAGUACUGUAGUUGUUGCAUUGAGGGUAUCUGCUUCUCAACUGUCUUUGGACAACUUGAAUCAUUUUGACCUCAAAUCAGGUAGGACUACCCGCUGAACUUAA
rnacentral:misc_RNA from 1 species